CUGCACCCAGGAGUAGCAAAACUUGCGCUACCUGGUGUCGCGCGGGUCUCCUGCGCCCUCGCCCGCUCCAUGGAAGCGCUCAGCGCCGCCGAGCUCCUGCAGGCAAAUUG